GCCCAGCCAUUAGAGGCUUAAGCCCAAAUCAAACAAAGGCCUAAUUCUAUAACACACACAUAACACACAAAUACACACACAAGCCUCACUCUCUCUCUAUCCUCGGCUCUCUCUCCCGGCUCUCUCUGCUCUCUCUCUGCUCGGUCGAGUGCGGCGCCGCCUUCGGCGCGCCGCCUCGCCGAGCACCUCCCUUCCCCCUCUCAUCUCUCUGACCUCCUCCGUCUGCCUCCCUCUUUCUCAGUUCUUUCUCCCUCGCCGGAAUCGUUGCACGCGCCGCCUCGAUAUCCGCAGCCGCCGCCUCGCCGUGAUGGAGCUCGGCCGUCGUCCAUCUGGUCUUCCGCCUUCGGCCUCCGCUCGAAGAAGGGCGUGGGGUAGCUUCCUCUCCAUCCCCUCGUCUGGAACAGGGCGUCUGCCCUCUCCGCCAUAGGGAGCGCACGGCCGCCGUCUGGUCGCCUCCUCCGUCGUCCGUCUGGCUGGAGUCGCGGUGGAGGCCGGGCCUUGCCUCAUUGGAAAGGAACAGCCCGUUGCUCCCGCCGCCGUGUCGCCGCUGCCGAUGCCGCCGCGUCGUCGUCACCGGAGAAGAUGAGUCCUCCCUUCUCUCUCUCUCUCUUCCCUUUUUUUUUAAAACUUACUCUCUCUCUCUCUCUCUCGGUCGUUUCAGACAGAAAAGGAAAAAGGCGGUGGCUUGCCGCCGCGCCGUCUCCGGCCGUGAGCAGCCGCCGGCUGCUCUCACUCCUCCCUCCGUCCCCGGUCACACACACACAGAGACACAAAGAGUCCAAAUUUUCAGUUUACACAGAACACUUAGGUUUUCAAAAUUUGUUCUUUCUAUUCUUGUCUAUUCUCAAAAUCAAAUCUUGUAAUUGUAAUAGGUAGAAAGUGAAGUGAUGAUGAGUGUGUGUGUUCGUUGCUGUUUCUUUCUUCUUCCCUUGUUUUUUUGUUUGAUGCAGAAUUAACAAAUGAUGUGGGGAGGUUUUGGAGUAACCUUGAUUUGGUGAUGUUGUUGGAAUCUGUGAAUUGUAAACAAAUAUAAGAAUGAGUUUUGCUUUCUUUGAAA